UCCCUUCCCUCGUCCUCCCUCAUCUUCCUCCCUCUCACCGACAUCCCUUUACAUUUCUCCCCUGCCUCACCAAAAUCAAAUCAAAUUGAGAUUGAACCAUGACAUACACAUGCAGUAUGCAACAAAUAUAAAUCCUACAUAACAAACCCUAAAUUAACCUCCCUCCGUACCCAUCUCUCUCUCUCUCUCUCUCUCUCUCUCCUUAUUAUCACGAAGAAAAGCAAGCAAACAGUAUCUAUCUCGAUCUGCUCCGCACGUAAUUAUUACAGGUUGCUCGCUGAUAGUGAUACACACACCCACCAACCAAGGCACAAAGCAUGAGCGGGAGAUUAGCUGAAGUCCGGUUAUACUUAGAGGGAAGUGGCACGGCAGCUAUUGCUUUCGAAAUACAGAGCAUCAGCCACUCAACUGGUGCUUCCGAGUACUGUUUUUUAAGUACCAGUGUGAAUCAAAUAGAAGAUGUAUGAAUCUCAUUAGACUCAAUUACCAGGGACAGGUUCAAAAUCGGUAUAGAUUAUCAAAAGAUAACUCGAGUCUUCGUUGGUGAGCAUUGUCCAGUAUUACUUCCUUAUGCUGAUACAUAUCACCUCCUUGCUGAGAGGAGUUUCCAUGUCCCUAUGCGUGAUGUCAAGCAAUUUUCAUCAAGGCCUAAAUGGACGCAUGUCUUGGCUUAUCAUCUUUCCAAGAUGGGUGUCCCACAAGGUGCGCAGCCAGCUCUCAUUGUAAGCAUACUUGACUACAUUGAAGAGGCCGACAACGACAGCUUUGAGUUGCCUAUUCUUGUGCAUAUUGUGGAUGGCACUUAUCACAUUCUGAGGUCGGACCACGACAACGACAUCCUUGAUAGGGUUAUGAGGCAAUCCUCGGAAGCAUACAUGGCCAUGCUUAUUCCUGCAGCUCAGUCAUCCAUUCAGGGCUUGGAGAAUGUGAGGCUUGAUGAUCCUACUUUGGGCCCGCUGUCCUCAUGUAUUAUUUGUAUGGAAGGCCUCCUCCUUGAUCAUCAUGAUGAUCAUCACUCUGAUAAUAUUAAUGCCGUCCGUGCUUCUCAAGAUGAAGAUGAUCAUCAUGAUCAAGAUCAAGGUCAAGGGGUUGAUUGUCGCCAUCCACCAAUGACGAUCAAACGCUUGCCCUGCUUACACAAAUUUCAUGAAGAUUGCAUCGUCCCGUGGCUGCAGAUCAAUCACUUGUGUCCCCUGUGCCGAUACCCGCUGGAAGUGCGCGAGUCAUCAAAACCCAAACGAAGGAGAUUAUCAUGAAAUAAUGAAAGAAGACCUGCAGCCAUGAUGAUCAGCUGGAACAAUGUAUGGCAGAAGCUGGCUUGAUUAGUAUGUUCUCUUCGGGAUCAUAAAAUCAACAUGCAUGUGGGAUCAUUGUACCUGGUAUUCCUCUUCUAGAGGCUUGGCAAGCUGAGUGCAUGGGAGCAUCAUAUACUCAUAUCAUCAAAGUCUUUAGAAGAAAGAAGAGUGGAGGUUGGAGUUGGGACUGAAGGUUAUUAGCCUUACACCUCCCAAAUAUUAAGUAUUGUGUACAUGUGGUGUUCGACUUUGUCUCACCUGAAAAUGUAAUGAGUGCAACCAGUUGACUGAUGAAGUCUGCUUCGAGAAGAUCAUGAAGCAAAAGUUGAAAAGC